rnacentral:rRNA from 1 species
GACGAACGCUGGCGGCGCGCUUAACACAUGCAAGUCGAACGGAAAGGCCCUGCUUUUGUGGGGUGCUCGAGUGGCGAACGGGUUAGUAACACGUGAGUAACCUGCCCUUGACUUUGGGAUAACUUCAGGAAACUGGGGCUAAUACCGGAUAGGAGCUCCUGCUGCAUGGUGGGGGUUGGAAAGUUUCGGCGGUUGGGGAUGGACUCGCGGCUUAUCAGCUUGUUGGUGGGGUAGUGGCUUACCAAGGCUUUGACGGGUAGCCGGCCUGAGAGGGUGACCGGCCACAUUGGGACUGAGAUACGGCCCAGACUCCUACGGGAGGCAGCAGUGGGGAAUAUUGCACAAUGGGCGGAAGCCUGAUGCAGCAACGCCGCGUGCGGGAUGACGGCCUUCGGGUUGUAAACCGCUUUCGCCUGUGACGAAGCGUGAGUGACGGUAAUGGGUAAAGAAGCACCGGCUAACUACGUG